rnacentral:rRNA from 1 species
GUAGGGGGCUAGCGUUAUCCGGAAUUACUGGGCGUAAAGGGUGCGUAGGUGGUUUCUUAAGUCAGAGGUGAAAGGCUACGGCUCAACCGUAGUAAGCCUUUGAAACUGGGAAACUUGAGUGCAGGAGAGGAGAGUGGAAUUCCUAGUGUAGCGGUGAAAUGCGUAGAUAUUGGGAGGAACAUCAGUGGCGAAGGCGGCUUACUGGGCUUUAACUGACGCUGAGGCUCGAAAGCGUGGGGAGCAAACAGGAUUAGAUACCCUGGUAGUCCACGCCGUAAACGAUGAUUACUAGGUGUGGGGGGACUGACCCCUUCCGUGCCGCAGCNAACGCAAUAAGUAAUCCACCCGGGGAGU